CAUCAUCACGCUCUCGUGAGACUGGACCAUCUUAGAAAUCCUGUGCUGAAACCGUAGUCAGCUAGAGGUAUCUGUCAGGAUGAGGGAAAUGCAAAUAGUGGCCCAAAUGAACACUGCUUCAUCACCAGCGGUCAUUAUCUCACUGCAACUCACUGCAUGAUCUGCUCAGCAUCUCUCAGUUGAAGACAGAUCAUGGAGUUGCUACUUGGAGGACAUCCCUUCAUAUAACAUAGGAGGCUCAGCCUCUCCGGGAUGUAUUUAUGGACAGAGUGACGCCGCCACGCGCACCAGAUCGAGGUGCAUGCUACAGAGAACCCAGCUGGAAGAAAAGAGUCAGGUUGCCUGUCGCCAUGGAAGCGACACCUUGACAGAGCAGUGCCUGUAAAAGUGAAAUGUUUAACGAUGAAUAAUUUUGUUUGAAGCUCUUCUGACUCCACAUUUCCACGGAAAAUGAAACCACGGGAGGCAUGAAAAAUCUCUAAAGGGCCUUUAUACAUAGAUUAAUGUGGUAAUUCUUUCAUUACUAUGUUCUGAAGAAGAGCUCCUUACGCCAGGCUCUGUGCUUUGCCUUCAGUUAUAACAUGGCUUUGCAUUAAGUGUUUUAAUAAAAUGUGAAAUUAAAUGAUCAUCCCUGGUGAUAUUCAGCUUUGGGUUGAGGUAAGGAAAAAAAAAAUGUACUUCUGCAGUACAUAAAGCCGAAGAGGUGGUUCUGUCCCCAGUGAAG
rnacentral:lncRNA from 1 species